UACGUAGGGUGCGAGCGUUAAUCGGAAUUACUGGGCGUAAAGGGCUUGUAGGCGGCCAACUAAGUCCGACGUGAAAUCCCCCGGCUUAACCUGGAACUGCGUCUGAUACUGGGAGGCUUGAGUAUGGGAGAGGGAUGUAGAAUUCCAGGUGUAGCGGUGAAAUGCGUAGAUAUCUGGAGGAAUACCGGUGGCGAAGGCGGCAUCCUGGACCAUAACUGACGCUGAGGCACGAAAGCGUGGGGAGCAAACAGGG
rnacentral:rRNA from 1 species